rnacentral:rRNA from 6 species
UAUGAAGGCGGGCUGGAAUCUCUCGGGGUUACAGCCUUGCUGAAUUAUUCACCCUUGUCUUUUGCGUACUUCUUGUUUCCUUGGUGGGUUCGCCCACCACUAGGACAAACAUAAACCUUUUGUAAUUGCAAUCAGCGUCAGUAACAAAUUAAUAAUUACAACUUUCAACAACGGAUCUCUUGGUUCUGGCAUCGAUGAAGAACGCAGCGAAAUGCGAUAAGUAGUGUGAAUUGCAGAAUUCAGUGAAUCAUCGAAUCUUUGAACGCACAUUGCGCCCUUUGGUAUUCCAAAGGGCAUGCCUGUUCGAGCGUCAUUUGUACCCUCAAGCUUUGCUUGGUGUUGGGCGUCUUGUCUCUAGCUUUGCUGGAGACUCGCCUUAAAGUAAUUGGCAGCCGGCCUACUGGUUUCGGAGCGCAGCACAAGUCGCACUCUCUAUCAGCAAAGGUCUAGCAUCCAUUAAGCCUUUUUUCAACUUUUGACCUCGGAUCAGGUAGGGAUACCCGCUGAACUUAAGCAUAUCAAUAAGCGGAGGAA